CUUUGCAUUGGUAAGGGAAAGAAUACUUUCAUGCCUUCAUGGUUCUUGCGCUUUUUGUGUCUCACCAAAAUCAAGACUCAGGUCAUGUGCACGUUUAUCAAGAAAAUACCUUUUUUCUCCAGAAAAUAAAAACGCCCUGGAAGACAAGUGUGAUGCAUUGAGGUCCGUGAAAGCCACAAAGGAAGCAAAAGUCAAACAGCUGAAGGAGAAAGCAUAUAACCUGGAAGAAUUCUAUGAACAAAGAAAAGUGCCUACAAAAAAGAAGCUGAAAAUGACACUGUGAACUGGCGGCAAAGAAGAAUCAGCUGGCAGCUGCAGGCAACAAAUGGAACAAACACGGGAACAGCUGCAGCAGGCAGAGCUCACCUUUAGAUACCAGCUCGCAGUUCAUGAGAAGAAUGCUCAGGACAACUAGAUCAAGACUCAGAUCUGGGACAGGGAGAUGGCGGAGCAGGGCACGGAGGUCGCUUACUUGAAAUACAG